GAUGAACGCUGGCGGCGUGCCUAAUACAUGCAAGUCGAGCGAACAGACGAGGAGCUUGCUCCUCUGACGUUAGCGGCGGACGGGUGAGUAACACGUGGAUAACCUACCUAUCAGACUGGGAUAACUUCGGGAAACCGGAGCUAAUACCGGAUAAUAUAUUGAACCGCAUGGUUCAAUAGUGAAAGACGGCUUUGCUGUCACUUAUAGAUGGAUCCGCGCCGCAUUAGCUAGUUGGUAAGGUAACGGCUUACCAAGGCAACGAUGCGUAGCCGACCUGAGAGGGUGAUCGGCCACACUGGAACUGAGACACGGUCCAAACUCCUACGGGAGGCAGCAGUAGGGAAUCUUCCGCAAUGGGCGAAAGCCUGACGGAGCAACGCCGCGUGAGUGAUGAAGGUCUUCGGAUCGUAAAACUCUGUUAUUAGGGAAGAACAAGUGUGUAAGUAACUAUGCACGUCUUGACGGUACCUAAUCAGAAAGCCACGGCUAACUACGUG
rnacentral:rRNA from 1 species